GAAUCUGAAGUGAUAAAUGAACUCAAGUGACGUGUGUUAUGAAAUGAGUUAUUGAAAUCUCUAUGAAUGAAUUGAGAUUAUGAUGGAUUGAAUAUGUUCACACUGGUUUGAACAAGAUGACGUAAAUCGAAUAAGAUGAUGUAAAUGUAUAUGUGAAUUAUGUGAUGACGUGAAUUAAAAGAUGUUAAUCACGUAAAGUGAAAUAUCGGAGGGAAAUGAUGAACAGGUUGCCCUGUAUGAGUGGUUCAGCGGCCCCUACAGGUUCUCUGGUUACUAUGCUGAUUAUUCUGUUACUGUCUUCCUUCUAUCUUGUUGUGAUCCAAGUAGAAGGGGUGUGCACACUAGGGACUCUGUUAUGGCCAUUAUGAUUUUUCGUAGGUGGUUACAGGGUUUCGUCCCGGCCUACAAGUAGGUGGUUACAGGGUUUCGUCCUGGCCUACUAUGUUGAAGUGGGUGAUCGAUCGGGGGAACCAAAGGGAAAUCAUUUAGAGUUGUCAUCCACUUAGCAUAUGAUUAGCUUCCGGUGGAACUCUGAAACACUUUUAAUUAAUUAGUAGUGUUUAAUGAACAAUUUGCUUAGUUGUAAUGAUUAAUGAAUUUGAGAUGGUGUGUUGUAACUUAGCCUUGCAUUUGUUUCCAAGGAGAUAAUUGCGGCGGUAGCACCACCCCGUCGGGUCGAACCCUCGUGGAUUCGUUUUUCCCCCAAAACCCCGAGUUUUUCCGAAAUGAAAAAGGGUUCGGGUCGGCGGGGGUGCUACACUUGUAGCCAGUAAUUCUUGGAAGCUCUGGCAGAUAGACGUUAAAAUUGCA